rnacentral:ncRNA from 1 species
AAACUGUCAUGAAAAAACUUAUGGUAAAGAAAGUAACUUUAUAGAUGCACUAGUCCGCGUCGUUCAGACAAUGAACGACUAGAAAAUCGGGUGAAUUGCAGGGAACUCCUUAGAGGCAGGCAAGCCACAACGUGACUGGAAACGGUGAGCGUGAGGGCUUAAAAAUUGCUUGCAUUGGACAAUCUGCAGCCAAGCGUCAUUGGGCAAAGGUAAUGGCGAAGGUUCAACGACUAGAGAGUGAGUCCCAACAAUAAACUCUCACAAGCGCCCGACCCCUAACAGAUCAUGCUGAGGGUGAUGAUAUAGUCUAGUCCGGCUGCAGAGCAGCG